rnacentral:rRNA from 1 species
GACGAACGCUGGCGGCGUGCUUAACACAUGCAAGUCGAACGGAAAGGCCCUGCUUUUGUGGGGUGCUCGAGUGGCGAACGGGUGAGUAACACGUGAGUAACCUGCCCUUGACUUUGGGAUAACUUCAGGAAACUGGGGCUAAUACCGGAUAGGAGCUCCUGCUGCAUGGUGGGCGUUGGAAAGUUUCGGCGGUUGGGGAUGGACUCGCGGCUUAUCAGCUUGUUGGUGGGGUAGUGGCUUACCAAGGCUAUGACGGGUAGCCGGCCUGAGAGGGUGACCGGCCACAUUGGGACUGAGAUACGGCCCAGACUCCUACGGGAGGCAGUAGUGGGGAAUAUUGCACAAUGGGCGGAAGCCUGAUGCAGCAACGCCGCGUGCGGGAUGACGGCCUUCGGGUUGUAAACCGAUUUCGCCUGUGACGAAGCGUGAGUGACGGUAAUGGGUAAAGAAGCACCGGCUAACUACGUG